rnacentral:rRNA from 1 species
GACGAACGCUGGCGGCGUGCUUAACACAUGCAAGUCGAGCGGUAAGGCCCUUUCGGGGGUACACGAGCGGCGAACGGGUGAGUAACACGUGGGUGACCUGCCCUCAGCUCUGGGAUAAGCCUGGGAAACCGGGUCUAAUACCGGAUAUGACUCCAUGACGCAUGUUGUGGGGUGGAAAGCCUUGUGCGGCUGAGGAUGGGCCCGCGGCCUAUCAGCUUGUUGGUGGGGUGAUGGCCUACCAAGGCGACGACGGGU